rnacentral:vault_RNA from 1 species
GGGCCAGCUAUAGCCCAGGGGUUACUUUGGUGUUUCACAAGCUUGUUGUGUUUCACCCCGCAAGGGGUUCGAUCCCACGGGCACCUCUGGUCCAUUU